rnacentral:misc_RNA from 1 species
GUGGUAAAUUAGAGCUGUAUUAGCUGGAAGUCAGAUACAGACAAAUUAGUUUCUUCCAAGAUCAUUAAUUUUAUGAGGAUGCUCAAUAUCAAUGGCACCUAAGAUGGACACAUUUGUAAAUCUCCAGUGCAAAUUAGUUCAUCAUGAGAAAAAAAAAUGGCUUACAAAAUGUACCCAAGUUCCUAGAAAUUUCCAAAGAAACUUUCUCUAAAUUGAAGGAAAAACCUAGAGCAAAGAAUGUACAACUGCCUUUGAGGCCCAUGCCUAAACAAGAAGUAUCUUCUUACAUAUAAAGCCAAGCAGAUUGCGAAAAGGAAAUUCAUUACUCAGCCUGGGAAAUAAUAUGUUUGAAACUGAAAAGAGUAAGUCACAAAAAGUGCAUAAUCACACAAGAUUCUCACAUUAAAGCAGUAGCAUACUCAAGAAACUUACCCGUCCCCUGUCCAUAUGACAUAU